rnacentral:rRNA from 1 species
GGCCGCGGUAUCUUAACCGUGCAAAGGUAGCAUAAUCAAUUGUCCUUUAAAUUAGGACUAGUAUGAACGGCACCACGAGGGUUUAACUGUCUCCCCAUUUUUAUCAGUGAAAUUAGUCUUCCCGUGAAGAAACGGGAAUAUAUAUAUAAGACGAAAAGACCCCAUGGAGCUUCAAACUUAUUACCACUUAUCUAUUAAUAUAACAUACUCUUGAUAAGAGUGUUCUUAAUAGUUUUUGGUUGGGACGACCCUGGAGAAAAACAAAUCCUCCAGAAUGAAAGAGUAAAUAACCCUUAUAUGAGAAUUACAAUUCUAACAAACAAAAAUUUGACAAAAUUGACCCAAAUAAUUGAUCAAUGAACCAAGUUACCCUGGGGAUAACAGCGCAAUCCAUUUCAAGAGCCCAUAUCGACAAAUGGGUUUACGACCUCGAUGUUGGAUCGGGGUAUCCUAGCAGCGCAGCCGUUGCUAAUGGUUCGUUUGUUCAACGAUUAAUACCCCACGUGAUCU